UGAGUCGGCCAGGCGGCCGCGUCGGGGGAGACCCCGCCGAGGAACGUCCGGGCUCCGCAGAGCAGGGUGGUGGGUAACGCCCACCCGGGGUGACCCGCGGGACAGUGCCACAGAGAACAGACCGCCAUCCGGCAGGGCCUCGGCCAGGCCGGGCGGCAAGGGUGAAACGGUGGAGUAAGAGCCCACCAGCGCACCGGGUGACCGGUGCGGCUCGGCAAACCCCACCCGGAGCAAGGCCAGACAGGGAGCGUUCGAGGGCUGCUCGCCCGAGCUCCCGGGUAGGCCGCUGGAGGUGUGCGGCAACGUACACCCGAGAUGGAUGGCCGCCACCGGCGCCUUCGGGCGCCGGGACAGAACCCGGCGUACCGGCCGACUCAUCCG
rnacentral:RNase_P_RNA from 2 species